UACGAAGGGUGCGAGCGUUAAUCGGAAUUACUGGGCGUAAAGCGUGCGUAGGUGGCUUGUUAAGUCGGAUGUGAAAGCCCUGGGCUUAACCUGGGAACUGCAUCCGAUACUGGUGAGCUUGGAGUUUGGAAGAGGGUGGUGGAAUUCCCGGUGUAGCGGUGAAAUGCGUAGAGAUCGGGAGGAAUACCAGUGGCGAAGGCGGGUCUCUGGGCCGUAACUGACGCUGAGGAGCGAAAGCAUGGGGAGCGAACAGG
rnacentral:rRNA from 1 species